rnacentral:rRNA from 1 species
GGGAAUAUUGCACAAUGGGGGAAACCCUGAUGCAGCCAUGCCGCGUGUGUGAAGAAGGCCUUCGGGUUGUAAAGCACUUUCAGUAGGGAGGAAAGGUUGACGGUUAAUACCCGUUAGCUGUGACGUUACCUACAGAAGAAGGNCCGGCUAANUCCGUGCCAGCAGCCGCGGUAAUACGGAGGGUCCGAGCGUUAAUUGGAAUUACUGGGCGUAAAGCGUGCGCNGGCGGUUUGUUAAGCGAGAUGUGAAANCCCCGGGCUCAACCUGGGAAUUGCAUUUUGAACUGGCAAACUAGAGUCUUGUAGAGGGGGGUAGAAUUUCAGGUGUAGCGGUGAAAUGCGUAGAGAUUUGAAGGAAUCCCGGUGGGGAAGGCGGCCCCCUGGACAAAGACUGACGNUCAUGCCCGAAAGCGUGGGGAGCAAACNGGAUUAGAUACCCUGGUAGUNCNCNCCGUAAACGANGUNUACUCGGAGUUUGGGGUCUUGAACACUGGGCUCUCAAGCUAACGCAUUAAGUAGACCGCCUGGGGA